GGGAGUAUAGCAUAAACUAAUGCGUCUCGUUUACAGUGAGAACAUCUUGAAGAAUUAAAGUACCCCCU
rnacentral:tRNA from 1 species